UGAGUCGGCAGGACGGUCGCUGUUCGGCGUGUUUCACGCUGAAGAGAGGAAAGUCCGGGCUCCUUCGGACCUCGGUGAUGGGUAACGCCCACCGUCCAAGCAAGGCACUUGUGCCGAGCGAGGAUAGGGAAAGUGCAACAGAAAGAUACCGCCUGGAGGAGUCCGUAGUCAGCGGUCCGUAGUCCGUGGCAUGAAAGCUUCUUGCUACUGACGACGGACCACUGACUACGGACUCUUCCCGGUAAGGGUGAAAUGGCGGGGGAGCGCAAGCUCCUUAAUGUAAGAGCCCACCAGCAGCCGGGUGACCGGCUGGCUCGGCAAACCCCACCGGGAGCAAGGCCAAAUAGGGAAGCAGGACUGGUCCGAUCCGUCAUGACUUUCGGGUAGGCUGCUCGAGUGCCGGAGCAAUCCGGCGCCUAGAUAAAUGACCGUCACGAGGGCAACCUCGGACAGAACCCGGCUUACCGUCGGCUUGCGGA
rnacentral:RNase_P_RNA from 1 species